CUUCUUCAAGUUCAAUGUUUCUGGAGGCGGAAAGAAGUGAUGAAUUCAUCACAGGGUCGUGUAUUUUAGCAUUUUUGGGUUCACUUGCAAGUAGCCAGGUACUAUCAGUACUGAUUGCAGACUGUGCGGGGAGGCUAUAAGCACCAACUGGAAGGGAUGAAAAAUAUAAUUUUUCAUUCGUGAGCUAGAACUGCUCAGCUCUAUCGGAAAACUGGAAGUUGUAACGUGUGACUGGACAACUUUGUCGUAAUUAGGAUGCAAAGUUAUUUGUUAUGCAAUUCUACCGUUGUUGCAUGUGUAGCUCCAUAAUUCUUACUAAUAUUUUACAUAGAAAAUUACUUUGAUUACUUUUUUGGAUAUAUUGCCUCUUAAAUUGAUUGAGUACCUCUCCGUCCAUGAGAGAAAAAAAAGAGACAAAAUCACAUGCCUGCACUGAUUAAAUGUGGCGCUCAAGUGAAACUUAUCUUAGGGUUCAUAAUAUCUUAGUAUUGAGCUCUAAAUUUUAGUUGGUGCAUAUUGUUUUUUAUAGCAAAUCUUCAUGAAUGUUCAUCAAGUUUAUUAAAAGAAGUAAACAUGUCUGCAAUAUCAAAAACUACCUUCGAUCCAAAUAAUUGAAGUUUUGGGUUUGUCUCAAGUCAAACUUGUUUUAGUUUGACCAAGUCUAUCGAAACAUAGAUUAACCUGUACAACACAAGUUAGUCUCAUGGAAUCAUAUUUCAAUAUUAUCAGUAUUUGGUGUUGUAAAUCUUAGCAUAUUUUUCUAUAGAGUUGGUCAAACUAGAGCAAGUUGGACUUAUGACAAAUCUAUGACUUCGAUUGUUUUGGAAUGGAGAGACCAUAUGAAAAUAUAAUGUUGAAUCUUAUGGUAUUGAUCAGGUAUCCGAGAUGUUGAUAACUUUUUCUAUGAACUUGCUCAAACUUUGCAAGUUUUGGCAUUGAAAAAAACACUAUUUUGGGACAGAGAGUCUUGCCAGAAAAAAAUCCCAACAAUGACUUUUGAAAUGUAAGAAAACAGCUAACCAUCUUUCCUUGCAAUCCCCACCUCCUCCCCUCAUCCCUAUCGAAGGAGGCCUUCGGGUUAAGUCCGGUUGGCAGCUGCGACAACUUUGUCGACGACCUCCAUGGCUCCGCCCCGACUACUCUUUCCCUGCGAGAUGGGGUGGGGGUGGCACCCCUUUUUCCCUCUCUCUAGAGGUCAUUCCCGCGUAGGUCGUCCGCGUGGUUGCAGAUGCGGUGCAACAACGGUGGGACGCUAGAUCUGGUCUGUCUCGUGCAAAUCCGGUUUGCUGGAGUCUGCUGGGUCGGUUUUUGGCUGGCGAUGAGGUUUGUGGUGGCUCUUGUAUGGUCAUGACGCGAGUGUGUGGGCUAGUGGAGGUGUGAUGCAUGGGUAUCUCGUGUUAGGCGGUGCUCCUGGUGAACUUGCCAAGCUCUUGUCGACCGGCGACGUCGAUGUCCUUGGGCGUCAUUUCACCUCCUUGGAGGCGCCGAUGUGGAGUUCAUCUCCGGCAGGGGCGAACCCAGGAUUGGGCUAAGCCCCGGACCCUAGGCCAGCUACAAUGCAUCUACAGUGACGCUACAGUGCCAUUCAUGCUAUAUUGAAGGAAGUGUGCAUUCCUCACGCCCAGGGCCCAGGCCCCCCGGCCUGGGUCCUAGAUCCGCCACUGAUCUCUGGCACACCCUCAGAUUCAGUUCUUCGGGUAAAAUCCUAAGGCUCAGUUGGGUCGGGUCGCUUCCCUUUCCGGAGCAUCGUCUUGAAGAGACCUCUCGAUUCCCUUCACGCCCUUCAUGUGCUAGACGCUCACGACAAUGCGGUCGGUAGGUGUUCCUCCGACAAUGUGGCUGGUUGUGCGCGGCUUUCGCGUGGCAACAAUGGUGACUUCGGGUGAGUUGUGAUUGAGUUUUGGUAGUCGGUUUUAUUCGGCGUGUUUAAGGGGUCACCGUGCCUCACUCGUUCUUUCUAAAGUCGGAUCUGCUGAGGCGGGCCUUCGUGGUGAUGAUGACACGAGAUGGGUAGUCCCUUCCGACGCUUGUUCGGCACAGGCCCGACUCUUUCUUGCUCGUUGACAAAGUAGAAGCUGCUUGGGCAUCGAUGUGUGUUGCUGACUGGUUGUCAUAGGCGGGUUCCUCCCCAGCACACCCCCUCGCCGCAGCGGAGCCUCGCCCGAUGCCGCCCAAGGCGUCGAAGAAGGACGACGAGCCGACGGAGCGCCCCAUCCUCGGCCGCUUCUCCUGCCACCUCAAGAUCAGAAUCGUACGCUCCCCUCUUCCCCCUCCCGCAGAUUCCCCACGUUCUCCCGCGAUUCUAGCGAGUGCUCGCAAGGGUUUCAUGGUUGCUUACUUGGUGGGUGCGGUGGCAGUGGCGGUUGAUCAGAUCGACAGGAGAGCAUGUGAUGUCCCUGUUGCGGUCGUCUUAGUGUAAUAGGGCUUUGCAGUUCUCUUGGUCCGCGCUGGCAAAGUUCGGAAUCGUUGGUGGCUUGCUCGUGGCAUCUGAAAGUGGUUUUGUCCGACUUUGUGAUCUCCAUCCCAGAGUCCAUACUAUCGGUUUCGCAUGUCUAUACCCAUGAAUUGUGAAACAUAGUCAUCGACCGAAUCGUAUACACUAGUUGAACGGUAUGUGUCCGCAUAACCUUAUCAACUAGGGAUCAUUAGAACAUCCGUCAUACAAUACAUAGUUUCACAAACAAGUCACAUACUUAUUGAUACAUAUCAUUGAUGAUGUUCAAGGAUAUUCCAAAUAACUAAUAAAUACAUACGGAAAUAUUAUCAUCACAUGAUUGCCUCUAAGACAUAUCUCCAACAACAUAAUCAUACUCUUAAAAAUUACAGUUUAAUCGAUACUAAUUGUAAUUUUCUCACCACACCGUGUUAUCUUUUAUUGAAGAGAUGCCGCUUGUGAAAUUAUGGAUCCCAGUUUAUCCACCCCUAUUGCUUUCAAGUUUAACCAGACUUUUUUUUUACAAUUCCUUGAUUUUAUUUCUCUUACUUUAAUCACUUCUUUCGAACACGAGUUGCUUUAAUCCUGAUAACGGCAUGGAUAGUAAGACUAACAAUUUUACUAGUUUCGUUGGGUGCCGAGACAAGUUCUGUAAUUGUGGGAGCUUCUACCGGUUUAUCAAACCUUAAGGCCAUCCACUUAGGAAAAUUGNNNNNNNNNNNNNNNNNNNNNNNNNNNNNNNNNNNNNNNNNNNNNNNNNNNNNNNNNNNNNNNNNNNNNNNNNNNNNNNNNNNNNNNNNNNNNNNNNNNNNNNNNNNNNNNNNNNNNNNNNNNNNNNNNNNNNNNNNNNNNNNNNNNNNNNNNNNNNNNNNNNNNNNNNNNNNNNNNNNNNNNNNNNNNNNNNCGCUUCCUAGAUUAGAGGAGGCAAGUUUUUUCUGGCGUUGUUGUGAGGGAGUCUUUGAUUAUUACCAUAUGUCCUACACUCCUUUACUUUACUUUCUUGUUAUAUAUCUUGCUUAGUUACUUUAUGUUAGUAGUUUUUUUUUGUUUUUUCACUUUCGAAAAAAUUCAAAAAACACACAAAAAUAUUUAAAUUCUAGCAAGAAGUUAGUUUGUUUUAGGCUUGAAAUCAUGUCUACUUCUGCUCAAAACACCAAACUUUGUGGAUUUACGAGUAGUAAGAAUGGUGAUUUCAUUAACAAACGUAUUGGUCCACUAGCUACUAGUGCUGAGUCUUACAAAAUUAAGACUGCUUUGUUGAACUUGGUAACGACUAAUGAAAGAACAAUUAUAUGGUUCUUAUAAUGAAGACGUUGCUUCUCACUUAAACAAUUAUGUUGAGCUCCAUGAUAUAAAAAAAAUAUAAAGAAGUAAAAUCCAAUAUUGUCAAGUUAAAACUUUUUUCAGCCAAAAAUGGAUGUUAAGUGGAGAUGGGGAAACUUCUGCACGACAAUUGGCUUUGGCACGAGUACAUUUUGAUUAUGCGGCAGCAGGUAUAACACUCCAAAUAUGUAGCGGUUGGGGGCAAAAAUUGAGGCUACCCAAAAGAAUUUUGUAUCACGUGGAGCCCUGUUUUUGACCCAAAGUGUCCUAAAACGAUGGUUUUUACAUCACAGAGAUGCUUCUUUUUAUCAUUGUUGGAUGACCCUCCUGUCUUCCCGCAUCCCCCAUCGUGCCGCCGCGUGCCGGGUGAGGACCUUGUCUUGCCAGCCCUAAAAGGGUAGUAUCGUGCCCGACCUUAAUGCUCGGCUUUUGGGCUCGACCUUGUUCCAUAGCGGGCCAAAGACCAGCCCGACCCUUUUAAUCGUGUGCCGUGCUGGGCACAUGUCGGGCUGAAAUUCCGAGUCCAUGGGCCGGCCCGCGAGGCACAACCCAUAUGGCCAGGUUUGAGCCCAUCCCCAGACUCCUCUCAGCUCGCCGCAACUACCACUUCCCACCAAAAACCCUAGCCGGCCAGCCCACAUCUCUCUCUCUAUCUCCCACACACGCUAGCCCAUCCCCAGACUCCUCUCCAGACCCCAGCACACCACCUCGCCGCAGCGGAGCCGAGCUCGAUGCCGCCCAAGGCGUCGAAGAAGGACGGCGAGCCGGCGGAGCGCCCCAUCCUCGGCCGCUUCUCCUCCCACCUCAAGAUCGGAAUCGUACGCUCCCCUCUUCUCCCCCCUCCCGCGGAUUCCCCACGUUCUCCCGCGUUCUAGCGAGUGCUCGCAGGGGUUUCAUCGUUGCUUACUUGGUGGGUGCGGUGGCGGUGGCGGUGGCGGUUGAUCUCUUUGCUGUCUCUGUGGAAUAGUAACAUAUGAAAUGUUAUCCCUGCUUAAAUCUUAGUCGCUACAUGCUAGUAGGAGUAGGACGUGUUAUAGUUUUAUGUAUGUAACUCGGUUUGCUUGGACACAAUUAUCAUGUUACUAUGGACUGCUGUUCAACAAGUUUCAUGAGUUGCCACUACCGCACUUCUCUAGUUGCAUUGAUGGUGUUUAACAGUACUUGCCCUUGUAUCCUUUAUUCGAUCUCAGAUUUCAUCAUAAAUCAUAAUGGACUACUCUUCUGUUGAAUGUUGAUUGGCGCACUACUUGUUCUGCUGUAGCCAUUUAGAGGAAUAAGAGGAGAUAUGAAUUUUACCAUUGAUGUUUCAUGCAGGUUGGGUUACCCAAUGUUGGCAAAUCAACUUUCUUCAACAUAGUAACAAAGUUGUCCAUCCCGGCUGAGAACUUCCCAUUCUGUACCAUUGAACCAAAUGAGGCACGGGUACAUGUUCCGGAUGAGCGAUUUGACUAUCUUUGCCAACUUUUCAAGCCAAAGAGUGAGGUUUGUUUCUUUUCUCUGCUUUACACUUCUACAGUAAUCUGCAGCUUCUUGGCUUAUGUUUCAGAUGUAUAGUGACUCUUGUUAUUCUCUGCAGGUGGCUGCAUAUCUGGAAAUCAACGACAUAGCCGGGCUUGUUAGAGGAGCAAGUGCAGGGGAGGGUCUGGGCAAUGCCUUCUUAUCCCAUAUACGUGCUGUUGAUGGAAUCUUUCAUGUCUUGAGUAUGUCUCUAUUGUAAAAUGUUUAUAAUUCAACUAUUGUAUUAUGUUUCUUAAUAAAGUUCCCUUGGUUAUGUUUUGACUAUAUGUUAAAAGUGAUAAAUUUUGGAUGUCUUGGUGGAGACCUAAAUGAGAAGACUAGCCAAAUGUUGGCAUUGCCAAACAUUGGCAAUACCAAGACUUGCCAAAUAUUGGCAACUUUAUGUUUCAUAGACAAGAAAACUUGGUAACCCACCAAUUAGUGGCCAAUAUGCCAAUUUUUGGCACCAAACCAAUUACGCGCUAGGUGUUCAUGUAAUAGAAUCUUUUGCUGUAUCUGUAACUGAUAGUAUGGUAUGAUUUUUAGGAGCAUUUGAAGACACGGAAAUCACCCAUAUUGAUGAUACAGUUGAUCCUGUUCGUGAUUUGGAAACUAUUACUCAAGAACUGAGGCUCAAGGUUUCGUUUGAGUUCUGCUUGAUUUGUUUGUCAACUUAACCAGUUGUUAACCUAGUUGUAACAAGGUUCUGUUGCAUUUCUGUAGGAUAUAGAGUUUGUGCAGGCUAAAAUUGAUGACCUUGAGAAGGCAAUGAAGAGGAGCAAUGACAAGCAACUUAAGAUAGACCAUGAAUUAUGUCAGAGGGUAGGGCAUGUUUCACAGCUCUGCAGUUUUGCAGUUUUGCUUCAUUUCUAUCAAUCAGUUAGAUCUCAUGAACUAUUGAAAUUUAGUUUCAACUUUUGUUGGUAGAUUAAAUGAUCAAUCGGUAAUUUAGUUUCAACUUUCCCUUAUAACAGAUCAUGACACAUCUUCAAGACGGGAAAGACCUACGUUUAGGAGAAUGGAAAGCUGCUGAAAUUGAGAUCUUGAAUACCUUUCAGCUGCUUACUGCUAAGCCAGUUGUUUAUUUGGUAAUUUUUACUUAUUUGGAUUGGAAGAAUGGUCUCAUUUGAUUAAUAUGUACAGGCUUGUUGUUUGAACUUUAUAUUAGCACAAUGACAUCAUUUGAUUAAUUAUAGUUACAUGCUUGUUGCUUGAACUUCUUUACCAGCAUUUCCAUCUAUAAUUUAGUGGCAUCCCAUAUUUAGUCCGGAAUUUCAAUCAAUGUUACAUUAACCCAGCUUUGUUUUCCCCUCUGUUUUGUUGUUGCUGUCUGUCUACUUCUGCUUUCCAACAUUUAUUUUGAGCCAUUACAGAACUGACGGGCGACUGGUAAUCGAUACGCCAUACUCUCGGCAUUUGUAUGAUUAGCAAUAAGUGCAUGCUCUGUAGACAAUUAACUGAGUUUUAUCUGAUCACAGGAAACAUAACUAGAAAAAACUAUUGCAUGCUUCUUGCUAUAGCAGUAGAAUAGGGGAACCUUUUUAGUUCCAUAUGCCAGUUUUAUUCCACUCCACUGUAAGGCACUGCAAGUCUGUAAUAGUUGAAGCAAUUGUUAAAGUUGCACUUCCAUGCGUGAGCAAGAACCAAAGCAAAGUAUGCAAGAAGUGUCAUUAGAGUUUAAGUGAACUAGUGAAGUAAGGAAAUCCCAAGAUAUAUGAUGUUUCCAUAUGGAUUCUUACUUUUUUUUGGACCCAAAAGGCACAUCAGGGUCCCUAAUAGGAAUAUAGGGAUGGUGUGCUGUAGAAGGGUUUAUGAAGAUUAGAUAUUACUUUUCACUUUCAUAUGAUUAUUGCUCACCUGUUGGAGAGGGAAAUGAAAUGGGAAGCAUAAAUUCUCUACUUGAAAAACCUACUGAUGUACUCGUUAUAUGAUGGUACAUAUAACUAAUAGCUGCUGCGCAUACAUCAGUUGAAAUUAUAUUUAUAUUAGCAGCAAGAGAAAAUAUCUCUUUGAUAUCUGGAAUUAUCCCACGUUCAGCUUGAGUAAUCAUGCCAAAUGGACAUUAAUCGCUCUGCUAUAACUGUAGCUCAUUUACUGGGUUAAUCCUUAGAUUUGACCUUACUUUUAUCAGUAGUUGAAACAGAAAAGCACCUUCUCUUUUAUAUGGCUUCUAAAAGGCCUAACCAUCCUUUUUGAAAGUAAAAUGUAGCUGUAUUGAUUAGUCUAGUAUGUUACUUUGUGCAGGUGAACAUGAGUGAAAAGGAUUACCUGAGAAAAAAGAACAAGUUUCUACCAAAGAUACAUGCUUGGUACGUACUAUUUCUACCCCAAGUCUAAUGGCUAUUGCAGAAUUACAGAUAAACUCAUGCUAUACGACAUGCAUUUCAAACUGCGAAUGCUAAUUUUCUGUGGAACUUCUGUUCAUGUACAGCCUAAUUGCUGUAGCAGGAUAGAUCAUUUUGAAGCUAAAUCAUUUCAAGUUUCCAUCAUUAUAUCUGGUUGUAUAUGAUAUUUGUUCCAACUUGCUUGUUGAGUAGAGCAGCUGUCUGGUUUAAAACACAUUGGGUUUAUUAUUGGAAAAAUGUUAUCACAGAGAGAACCAGUGUUUAUGCUUGGACUUGUUGAUUACUGUAUUUGAGGGUAGAAUCUCACAAAAUUUAUGGAUCUCUUACAUAUGAAUACCAGCAAUUGUCAUAGGCAGUGGGCCAGGUCCCAGUGGUAUGUGUCCGCACUCAGCACUAAGGAGCACUAUUCAUGUGGACAGUACCCACAUGGUAUCUGUCAGCACUAAGCAGGAAUUACUAUUCACGUGAACUGUACCCACUUGAACAAGAUAAGUGCAGUAGGUCUAGUUACAAAGUAGUAUAUCUGUUCAGUUAGGAAAAGAGAUCAGUUUAGUUAGGAAGGUAAACAUAUUUGAUCUUUACCGAACUUCUUUUAGUUAGGUAGGUAUAUAUAUCUGCUAUAUAUAUUAGACAUGGUAUCUGCCAGCACUAUUCAUGUGAGUUAUCAAUUAAGCAUUGAACGAGAAGUUCAGUAAAGAUCUAAUCACCAUCCUCAACCUUCUCACUCUCACCCCUGGUAGUCACCGUCUCAGUCCUAGAACCGACCCACCAUGAUGAUACUGAGAAAAACCCAUGAGACAAAAGAAGGCCUGAUGGUUGUAGGCUCUUGUCCACAGUAAGAAAUUGAUUAUAUGAAGUUCAUGUGGUUGUGAUUUUGAUUAAAUCUGAUUAUGUUGUGUUUGAUUAAAUGAUUAGCAUAAACCUAAUAUGCAUAAUUUCCUAUGAGAAGGGGCUAUUGCCUAUUGGAAUAUUAGCUAAUAUCUAACUAUUUCUUAUUCAGGGUGAAAGAGCAUGGUGGUGAAACUAUUAUUCCUUUCAGCUGUGCCUUCGAACAGAAACUAGUGGAUAUGCCAGAAGAUGAAGCUGCUAAAUAUUGCACCGAAAACCAAACGACAAGGCAAGCCAUAACAUAAUUAUGUCCGAGUUGAUUACCACAAUUAAGAUAGCAAUCAAGUUUAUUUAUUUGUAACAUGCAUUACAAUUUCUCUCUGCAUCUUGCUCAACCUUUUCUAUUUAAUUUAUUUAUACUAAAUCUUUCACCACUGUGAACAGUUUGAUCCCCAAAAUCAUCAAGACUGGUUUUGCAGCAAUUCAUCUCAUAUACUUCUUCACUGCUGGUCACGGCGAGGUACAUUUCAUAUGUUUACAUUGUGCUAGUACUAUGUGUGUUGUGUAAGCCAUGUUUUACUUUAUUUUGCUAAAAUGGUGGUCCAACAGCACUCUGUUACAGUUUUGGUGUGCAAAAUUCAUGUGCUUGUUCUUUGUAUAUCAGUAUUUAUUGGUUAUUGCCUCUGCUCCAAAAUAAGGGGUGCAAUCAAGUUUAUAUAACAUUCAUAAUCAGUAUGUAAAGAAUUUAAUGAGAUUUGACAAAUGAAAAUAACAUCCUUUUUUUUCUAAAUAAUUCUUUUUUUUACUAACAUAUCAACAAUAAUGGUCAAAGUUGCAUCUUGUUGGCUGUUCAUGUUCUAAACGUGGAGGAAUAUAUUAGAGUGUUUAGAUGUCUAUUCAUGUUUUAAGUUUCAAAUAGGAGUUUCUGAAUACAUUUGACAGUUUUCUGCUGGCUUACAAGCUUGAAUUCUCUUUUCAGGUGAAGUGCUGGCAGAUCAGACGUCAAAGUAAAGCUCCGCAAGCUGCUGGUGCAAUUCACACUGAUUUUGAAAGAGGCUUCAUAUGUGCUGAGGUAGAGUCCUUUCUGAAAUAGCUAGACACAAUUCCUUUAUUUGGAAUAAUUGAACUGUGGCAUUCUUAGUUGACAGUGUAGUUUAACUGUUGCUAUUCUUACUAUUUGCACUUCAUCAUGCCAAAGUGUUGUCCCCAAGGUACAUGAUGCUUAGGCAUGUUUUUUUUCUUUCAAAUCUCGAUGUUUACUGAAGCUCCUUUCAUUAUGUUAACUUGAUGUAUUUCUGUUUGCGGUGUUCAAAAUGAUACACGACAUUCCUUUUUUCUCUUUCAUAAUAUUUUGGUACUUUUGCUUUGAAAUUGGAAAUGCACGCUGUUAUGGCCGGUACUAUGGCAUUGUUUACUUGACUGUAUGCACAUUUGGAACCUUGAUAAUUCAUAUAUAUAAAUCUACUUUUUUUGAUCAGGUAAUGAAGUUUGAAGAUCUAAAAGAGCUGGGCAGUGAAUCUGCUGUGAAGGUGUGCACACACUCGUCUAUGUUAGAUCUGUAUCAGUUGCCUUACUUUUGAUCUUUAAACUCAACGUUGCCAUGGAUUGCAGGCUGCUGGGAAGUACAGGCAGGAAGGGAAGACGUAUGUGGUGCAGGAUGGAGACAUCAUCUUCUUCAAGUUCAAUGUUUCUGGAGGCGGAAAGAAGUGAUAAAUUCAUCACAGGGUCGUGUAUUUUUGCAUUUUUGAGUUCACUUGCAAGUAGCCAGGUACUAUCAGUACGGGUUGCAGACUGCGGGGAGGCUAUAUAUAAAUUUCCAUUCGCUCUGCUUUUGAAAGUACUCCUCGAUGUUAUGAAGUCAUGUGUGCCAACUGCCAACUGUACACCUGAACGAUGUUUGAGGCCUCUAUUAGAAAACUGGAAGUUGUAACUUUGUGACUGGACAAGUUUGUCGUAAUUAGGAUGCAAAGUUCUUUGUUAUGCAAUUCUACCGUUUGUUGUUGCAUGUGUAGUUCCAUAAUUUUUACGAAGAAAUUACUUUGAUUACUUUUUGGAUAUAUUGUCUCUUAAAUUGAUUGAGUACCUCUCCGUCCAUGAGAGGAAAAAGAGAC
rnacentral:lncRNA from 1 species